rnacentral:rRNA from 1 species
UUGGAAGUAAAAGUCGUAACAAGGUCUCCGUUGGUGAACCUACGGAGGGAUCAUUACUGA